rnacentral:miRNA from 1 species
AGCCGUGCUACAUAAGGCCAUGC